UUGGAUGGAUGUCUGCUUUUGCUAUGAAUCACAGGGUCUGUUGCUUUAAGCUUUAUGAGGCCAGUGAUAUUCCCUAUUCAUUGGUUUUCAUCUAGUCCCUCAUAUGUUUUUAGAGGUAUCUGUAUCCGCUCCCAGCAUGAAACACAUGCAUGUAGUAGUAGCAGUAAUAGUAGUAGUGGUAGUAAUAGUGGUAAUCGUAGUAGUAGUAGUAGUAGUAGUAGUAGUGGUAGUAAUAGUAGUAGUAGUUAUAGUAGUAGUAGUAGUCGUAGUAGUAGUAGUAGUUAUAGUAGUAAUGGUGGUAGUAGUAGUAAUAGUAGUAGUAGUAGUAGCAGUAGUUAGUAGUAGUAGUAGUAUUAUUAGUAGUAGUAUUCAAUUCAAUUGUAUUUGUAUAGUGCUUUUUUACAAUGGGUAUGGUCUCAACGCAGCUUUACAGAAACAUAUAAACACAGGAUACAGAUUUUAAGGGUGUG
ensembl:lncRNA